rnacentral:lncRNA from 1 species
UUUACAUUUGUAAACUCUAUUAUCAGAUUCCUUGAUGGAAUUUGAAUGUAAAUUUAAAACUAAUUUGGCAUUGUUUAAAUCUGACCCAACAUUGGAAGAUCUUGAUGGAAGGUCUGUGCCGGGAAACCAUUUUGUAAUAUUCGUUUCGCCAUUUCUAUGAACAUCUACAAUGUCCCAAUAACUUCCAUUUAUUUCUUUUGAUAUUUUAAUCCAAUAGACAUUAGUAUGUUGAUAAUCGGCAAGUUGGCAACUUAUUGAAU